AGAGUUUGAUCCUGGCUCAGAGUGAACGCUGGCGGCAGGCCUAAUACAUGCAAGUCGAACGGCAGCACAGCAGAGCUUGCUCUGUGGGUGGCGAGUGGCGGACGGGUGAGGAAUACAUGGGAAUCUGCCCAGUCGUGGGGGAUAACGUAGGGAAACUUACGCUAAUACCGCAUGCGCCCUUCGGGGGAAAGCCGGGGACCGUAAGGCCUGGCGCGAUUGGAUGAGCCCAUGUCGGGUUAGCUAGUUGGCGGGUAAAGCCCACCAAGGCGACGAUCCGUAGCUGGUCUGAGAGGAUGAUCAGCCACACUGGAACUGAGACACGGUCCAGACUCCUACGGGAGGCAGCAGUAGGGAAUAUUGGACAAUGGGCGCAAGCCUGAUCCAGCCAUGCCGCGUGAGUGAAGAAGGCCCUCGGGUUGUAAAGCUCUUUUGUCCGGAAAGAAAAGCGCCGGGUUAAUACCCUGGUGUCCUGACGGUACCGGAAGAAUAAGCACCGGCUAACUUCGUG
rnacentral:rRNA from 1 species